rnacentral:rRNA from 1 species
GACGAACGCUGGCGGCGUGCCUAAUACAUGCAAGUCGAACGCAGUGGGGACGGUUGAGUAACACGUGGGUAACCUCCCAUCAGAGGGGAUAACCCUUGGAAACAGGUGCUAAACCGCUACUGAUGGAUGGCCCCGGGGUGCAUUAGCUUGUUGGUGGGGUAACGGCUCACCAAGGCCACGAUGCAUAGUCGACCUGAGAGGGUGAUCGGCCACACUGGGACUGAGACACGGCCCAGACUCCUACGGGAGGCAGCAGUAGGGAAUCUUCGGCAAUGGACGAAAGUCUGACGGAGCAAUGCCGCGUGAGUGAAGAAGGUUUUCGGAUCGUAAAACUCUGUUGUUAGAGAAGCGGUAUCUAACCAGGAAGCCACGGCUAACUACGUGCCAGCCGCCGCGGUAAUUC